rnacentral:rRNA from 1 species
GUUGUCUCAAAGAUUAAGCCAUGCAUGUCUAAGUAUAAGCAAUUAUACAGCGAAACUGCGAAUGGCUCAUUAUAUAAGUUAUCGUUUAUUUGAUAGUACCUUACUACUUGGAUAACCGUGGUAAUUCUAGAGCUAAUACAUGCUGAAAAUCCCGACUUACGAAGGGAUGUAUUUAUUAGAUUAAAAACCAAUGCCCUCUGGGCUCUCUGGUGAUUCAUAAUAACUUCUCGAAUCGCAUGGCCUUGCGCCGGCGAUGGUUCAUUCAAAUUUCUUCCCUAUCAACUUUCGAUGUUUGGGUAGUGGCCAAACAUGGUUGCAACGGGUAACGGAGGGUUAGGGCUCGACCCCGGAGAAGGAGCCUGAGAAACGGCUACUACAUCCAAGGAAGGCAGCAGGCGCGCAAAUUACCCAAUCCCGACUCGGGGAGGUAGUGACAAUAAAUACUGAUACAGGGCUCUUUUGGGUCUUGUAAUUGGAAUGAGUACAAUUUAAAUCCCUUAACGAGGAACAAUUGGAGGGCAAGUCUGGUGCCAGCAGCCGCGGUAAUUCCAGCUCCAAUAGCGUAUAUUAAAGUUGUUGUGGUUAAAAAGCUCGUAGUUGAACCUUGGGCCUGGCUGGCCGGUCCGCCUCACCGCGUGUACUGGUCCGGCCGGGCCUUUCCCUCUGUGGAACCUCAUGCCCUUCACUGGGCGUGGCGGGGAAACAGGACUUUUACUUUGAAAAAAUUAGAGUGCUCCAGGCAGGCCUAUGCUCGAAUACAUUAGCAUGGAAUAAUGAAAUAGGACGUGCGGUUCUAUUUUGUUGGUUUCUAGGACCGCCGUAAUGAUUAAUAGGGACAGUCGGGGGCAUCAGUAUUCAAUUGUCAGAGGUGAAAUUCUUGGAUUUAUUGAAGACUAACUACUGCGAAAGCAUUUGCCAAGGAUGUUUUCAUUAAUCAGGAACGAAAGUUAGGGGAUCGAAGACGAUCAGAUACCGUCGUAGUCUUAACCAUAAACUAUGCCGACUAGGGAUCGGACGAUGUUAUUUUUUGACUCGUUCGGCACCUUACGAGAAAUCAAAGUGCUUGGGCUCCAGGGGGAG